AUUGAACGCUGGCGGCAGGCUUAACACAUGCAAGUCGAGCGGAGAUGAGGUGCUUGCACCUUAUCUUAGCGGCGGACGGGUGAGUAAUGCUUAGGAAUCUGCCUAUUAGUGGGGGACAACAUUCCGAAAGGAAUGCUAAUACCGCAUACGCCCUACGGGGGAAAGCAGGGGAUCUUCGGACCUUGCGCUAAUAGAUGAGCCUAAGUCGGAUUAGCUAGUUGGUGGGGUAAAGACCUACCAAGGCGACGAUCUGUAGCGGGUCUGAGAGGAUGGUCCGCCAGACUGGGACUGAGACACGACCCAGACUCCUACGGGAGGCAGCAGUGGGGAAUAUUGGACAAUGGGCGGAAGCCUGAUCCAGCCAUGCCGCGUGUGUGAAGAAGGCCUUUUGGUUGUAAAGCACUUUAAGCGAGGAGGAGGCUACCUGGAUUAAUACUCUAGGAUAGUGGACGUUACUCGCAGAAUAAGCACCGGCUAACUCUGUGCCAGCCGCCGCGGUAAAAC
rnacentral:rRNA from 1 species